rnacentral:tRNA from 1 species
GCGCCCUUCGUCUAGAGGCCUAGGACACCGCCCUUUCACGGCGGUAACAGGGGUUCGAAUCCCCUAGGGCGCACCA